AGUGAACGCUGGCGGUAGGCCUAACACAUGCAAGUCGAACGGCAGCACAUUAGUAGCUUUCUCUUACGGUUGGCAAUUGGUGGAGGGUUGAGUAUUACAUCGGAAUUAAUUUUUUCUUGGUGGAUAACGUAGGGAAACUUACGCUAUUACCGCUUAGGCCCAACGGGGGAAAUCAGGGGACCUUCGGACCUUGCUCGUUCGAAUGACCCGAUGUCGGAUUAGCUAGUUGGCGGGGUAAAGGCCCACCAAGGCGACGAUCCGUAGCUGGUCUGAGAGGAUGAUCAGCCACACUGGAACUGAGACACGGUCCAGACUCCUACGGGAGGCAGCAGUGGGGAAUAUUGGACAAUGGGCGCAAGCCUGAUCCAGCCAUACCGCGUGGGUGAAGAAGGCCUUCGGGUUGUAAAGCACUUUUGUUGGGAAAGAAAAGCAGCAGGUUAAUACCCCGCUGUUCUGACGGUACCCAAAGAAUAAGCACCGGCUAACUUCGUG
rnacentral:rRNA from 1 species